rnacentral:misc_RNA from 1 species
GAAAUGCGAUAAGUAGUGUGAAUUGCAGAAUUCAGUGAAUCAUCGAAUCUUUGAACGCACAUUGCGCCCCUUGGUAUUCCAUGGGGCAUGCCUGUUCGAGCGUCAUUUGUACCCUCAAGCUCUGCUUGGUGUUGGGUGUUUGUCCCCGUCUCCGCGCGUGGACUCGCCCCAAAGUGAUUAGCAGCCGGCGUACUGGUCCCGGAGCGCAGCACAUGUCGCGCAAACGAGUGCCUUGGUACGGCGGCGUCCAUAAGCCCCUCUCUCACGCUCUUGACCUCGGAUCAGGUAGGGAUACCCGCUGAACUUAAGC